GAUGAACGCUGGCGGCGUGCCUAAUACAUGCAAGUCGAGCGAACGGACGAGAAGCUUGCUUCUCUGAUGUUAGCGGCGGACGGGUGAGUAACACGUGGAUAACCUACCUAUAAGACUGGGAUAACUUCGGGAAACCGGAGCUAAUACCGGAUAAUAUUUUGAACCGCAUGGUUCAAAAGUGAAAGACGGUCUUGCUGUCACUUAUAGAUGGAUCCGCGCUGCAUUAGCUAGUUGGUAAGGUAACGGCUUACCAAGGCAACGAUGCAUAGCCGACCUGAGAGGGGGAUCGGCCACACUGGAACUGAGACACGGUCCAGACUCCUACGGGAGGCAGCAGUAGGGAAUCUUCCGCAAUGGGCGAAAGCCUGACGGAGCAACGCCGCGUGAGUGAUGAAGGUCUUCGGAUCGUAAAACUCUGUUAUUAGGGAAGAACAUAUGUGUAAGUAACUGUGCACAUCUUGACGGUACUUAAUCAGAAAGCCACGGCUAACUACGUG
rnacentral:rRNA from 1 species